rnacentral:rRNA from 1 species
GACAGAGGGUGCAAACGUUGUUCGGAAUUACUGGGCGUAAAGCGAGUGUAGGCGGUCCGAUAAGUCGGGUGUGAAAGCCCUGGGCUCAACCCAGGAAGUGCACUCGAAACUGCCGGGCUAGAGUAUCGGAGAGGUUGGUGGAAUUCUCGGUGUAGAGGUGAAAUUCGUAGAUAUCGGGAGGAACACCAGUGGCGAAGGCGGCGAUCUGGGAAGAUACUGACGCUGAGGUGCGAAAGCGUGGGGAGCAAACAGG